UAGGGAAUCUUCCACAAUGGACGCAAGUCUGAUGGAGCAACGCCGCGUGAGUGAAGAAGGUUUUCGGAUCGUAAAGCUCUGUUGUUGGUGAAGAAGGAUAGAGGCAGUAACUGGUCUUUAUUUGACGGUAAUCAACCAGAAAGUCACGGCUAACUACGUGCCAGCAGCCGCGGUAAUACGUAGGUGGCAAGCGUUGUCCGGAUUUAUUGGGCGUAAAGCGAGCGCAGGCGGAAUGAUAAGUCUGAUGUGAAAGCCCACGGCUCAACCGUGGAACAGCAUCGGAAACUGUCAUUCUUGAGUGCAGAAGAGGAGAGUGGAAUUCCAUGUGUAGCGGUGGAAUGCGUAGAUAUAUGGAAGAACACCAGUGGCGAAGGCGGCUCUCUGGUCUGCAACUGACGCUGAGGCUCGAAAGCAUGGGUAGCGAACAGG
rnacentral:rRNA from 1 species